rnacentral:lncRNA from 1 species
CCCUGGCCCUUCAUUGUCAGGGUCCUUUGACCAGCCAUUGACCCUGGCACUGGGGAGCUGACUGAGGUUACUUUCUUCCAUUGGGGGGAAUGGGGAUAUUGGGGGCCAAACCUAGCCUAGGGCUAUCAAACCUAGACUUCCUUGGUUGCUGCACUCACGUGCAAGAUGGCUUUGGGCAAAUGUGUUUUCCUCUCUGGAUCCUGUCUAACAAGGGGGUUCCGUCUUAGGAUCUCAGCUCCCAAGCCCCUUAGGGGGAACUCCAGAAGGCAAAGCCAUGUACUUCCUGUCUAUAGCUGGGUCCCUUGUGCCUCACAUUGUGUCUAGCAUGUAGUAAGCACUCAAUACAUGCUUGUUGAAUAAAUGAUACUCAGCAGUCUCAGCUGAGACCAUCAAUAGAUGCUGUGGAUCCUAGAAUAUUUCUUGGGAGAGAUGAGUAAUAAGGGGAUUUAACAGGCAUGAAAGUUGCUUUGGGCAAGCUGAGUGGUUCUUACCAUUUUUCAUCUUUCUUUUCCCUAUGCGAUAUUCAUACUCUGCCUGAAUCUACACACUGCAUAAUAUAAUAAAAGGAGAGAUAAUAGUAAAACUGGUGAAUUCAGUCAAAAACUCCUGAGUAUACUGAAAACAAUAAAUAGGCUGUCUGUGUUUAGUUUACUUUUUUGUUUGGUAUAUAAAAAAUACUACCCUACUUGGAUUCAAGAGAAGGAGCCAGAAAAUGCUUAGUAAAUUGUGUCAGUUUGUAUUUAUGGAGCAUCUCAUGCAAACGCUGAGUUGCCAUGGGCUGUGAUUAUUUGGUUGACAGACUUGCGAGAGAGAUUUCCUCUCAACGUGUGUGCCCCCUGAAGGUGGGCAAGAGUAGCUGAAGGGACCCGUAGACUUUACCUGUGAGGUCCAUUAACUCUCAUCCCUUAACCAAGCCAAUGCCUACAGACCCUGCUCAAGGCCAUUUGGUGGACAGCAGGCCCAUGGAAUCCUCUUUAAGAGGAAAGGGGGCACACUGGAAUGUUUGGUCCAGGAAAUUGCUCAGUGUACUCAGCUCCUGAUGAGUCAUAGUCAUUAGUAACCUAGGAUUGAAGGUACAAGGUAUCCAGAGCGCAAUAAAGGGGACCCUGAAGUUCUGAGCACUCUUAUGUUCAGCUCUCUUCAAGCAGGUUGGGUAUUGGGACCCAGGCAGGCAUGACUCAGCAACGGGGGGCAGAUGAAACAAGGCUUUGGCUUGAGGAAGGACCAUAGGAGGGGCCCUGAAGCCCAUAGAUUUCUCUGUGGCUCUCCCUCCCACCCUCCUUUCUGCUUCCUCGAUCCUCUGAAUCUCUACACACACACACACACACACACACACACACACACACACACACACACACACCAGCCACUCGGAAGUCUUGCCAGACCAGAGCAGAGAGACACACACAAAGAUGCACAAAGAAAUGACACAAGCAGAAGGGGCAUCAUCGUAAUUGGGUGAUUUUCAUCCUAACCCCUGUCUGAUUUUACUUGCUAUUUAUGGUCAUUGUCACAUUUAAUCCUUUCUAUUUUCUAAACUGCUUCUCUCUGAGAGUCCAGGAGGGAUUGCUUCUCCCCAGCCUCCUUUCCAGCUCCCAGGUGAGCUCUGGGCAGUGCUAGGACAGGGGCCAGCAUAGGAUGUCGGCAUGGGAUGUGGGUGCUGCUGGCUGCCGGUGCUCUGCGCUCCUGGCAGGCACUGUCAUUCUGCCUGAGGCUGCUCAAAAGCUGGAGCAGUGGGGCUGCAAGAGCGAUGACUCUCUAGAGCCCAGGCUGCUGCUGCAGAAAACUUAGUCCAGUCCUCUUUUGUUCUGAGUGAAAAUGAGUCCCUGCCUUGGGCAUUGGAUGGACGCUGUAGUUCUGAAGUGUCUGAAUCUGCCCCUGAGAGAAGCAGAGUAGCUCUGUGGAGCUAGGACUGGGCUUUGAGCCCAGGACUGGCUUCGGGAACUUUGAGCCAGGCCUGUCGCCUCACUUGCCUCAUCAUUAAGGGAAAAGGAUGGUCUAGAUUGUGCCACAGUCCCGAGAGACACUCCAUGAAAAUAGGGCUCAGGACCAAUGCAGUGGACAGCACAGCCCAUUCUAGCGGUAGCCAACACUUAUACUGGGCUUGGUUUUGGUAUUAAAACGGCUCUGAGAAGUUUCGUAGCAACAAACCAGUUUAACUUUGACCCAGCAAUUCCCAAACUGAUUUGACCAAAGAACUCUCAGGAAGCAUCAGCAUGAUGGCUGAAAGCACAGAGUCAAGAGUCAAAUGUGACUGGGUUUACAUCUUUCUCUUCUACUUAUAACUAUUGUGACUUUGGGCAGUGCUCCACAUCUCAAAACAUGGUAAAAUCUAUGAUAAUGAUAGGGUGCUGGGAGGAUUAAAGGAACCAAUGCAUGCAAAACUCUGCAGAGUGCUCAGCUUAUUGUAUGUGUGUCAGCUUUUAUGAUAGAUAAAUAGAUGAUAGAUAGAUAGAUAGAUAGACAGACAGACAGACAGACAGAAGAUAGAAAUUUUCCUGAGUUUCACAUGCUGCUGUUAUGGGUCAGCCUCUGACCUUUGUCCUCUUUGGCUAACUUUCCAUUAACAUUUUGUGUUCCCCUUUCAGAGAGCUAUUGCUGAAAAUUGGCUGACCCACCAGAUAUAUAUCAUAGGUCUCAUCCCCUUUCCAUCUCUGAGGGGUGGUGAACUGACAUUAGGCCAGUGGGACGUGGGAGAAGUGAUGGGGCCUGGACUGUGUAAACUUCCAUGGGAUCCUUGCCCACCUUUUCCUGGGUUGCUGGGUGGGUGAUGGAGCCCUGACUAGCCCUGAAAGGCAUGUAUUAGAGACAAUGGAACCCUGAGAGCCUGGGGCCCUGAAUGACUGUAUGGAAAAGAGUCCCACCCCCACUCCUGCUGCCCAAUGGCUUUAAUGUGAGCAAGAAGUAAACUCCCACUGUGUUAAGGCACUAAGUCCAAGUGUUUUGUUACUGUAAGCCAGUGCCCCUAAUACAUAUUCAUAUUCCCUCAAUCAGUGACAUUCCCCAACCUUGACUCUAACUCAAAUUUACCUCUAUUUCAAGUCCUCCUGACCUCCCUGAUCUCAGUGUGCCCUGUCCCCUGCAUUUCAGUACCUUGUGUUGUCACACUCAGGUGGUUCCCACUUUGUUACACAUGGGCUCGUAGUGCUAAUUGACAGAGACCUUGUUUGGUACUCAUUCUGCAUUUCCCAAAAUGCCUAGCGUCAAGCCCAGCAAACAGUAGGCACUCAAUCAAUACUUGUUGAUCGAUUUGAGAGAGGCUGGAAUGAUCCAUAUCAAACUCCAAGCAUCAUCUGGGAGCUCACUGAUUAAAUAAAUGAAUCUUGCAGCCUUUCUUUAAUGCCGCCAACCCAGCCUUUGCUGCAGGGAGUCUCCUGUCUGAGCCUCUAGCCUGCAGAGCCCUCCUUGUCGGCCGGUUCCUGGCUGACUUCCCAGGACCCAAGGCGCUCCGGGCCUUUCUCAGAUGGCCAGGACAUCCAUCAAUGACCCAUCGACUGAAGGUUAUUCUUUGU